GGUAAGCAAGGAAGGAGGAGGCCGUCACGGUGCCAGCAGCAGCACUGGGCCGGGACAGGCAGGCGCCAGCCAGGCACAGCUCGGACGUUCUCAGCUGUCACAAGAGCAGGGUCUUGGUAAUGAAAACACAAAAAAGAAGGUAAAAAGAAGGUGAAAAAACCCAAAACACCACCCCCCGCCCACCACCCCAAAGCCCCUAUAUGACCUGCAAGGUGAGUCUAUUUCUCUUCCUCUUUUUCUACCCAAACAAGGCAUAAAGAGCCAUCAACCGAGGCAGGCCUCACAGCAGCAACAGUGAGGGCUGGUGCCUCACCUGAUUUUAAAAUAGAGCUUGAUAAAUACAUGUAAUAAGGCUAUGUGGCACAUCUGUUCUUCACAGCAAGCAGCAGGAUUUGGGAAUCCAGAAGUUUCUUCCCGCUCCUGUGUCUGUGGGUCAAAGGUACACGUGCAUGGCAUGGAAUACGAUGGUAAAAGUUUUUCACAGUGGUGUGUACUGAAAAUAGCUCCAUAACUACCAAUUGUAGGAGCAUCUGACUUGUGAACAGUCAGACUACAAGAUAUCCUUAAAAGUUUAUAUUUAUAAAUGCAGUUGUUUUAGACAUCGCUUGUGCUGCUAUGUAGAAGUUUUUUAUUUUAUCCUACUGUAUGAUUUCUCACUUCCUUGGGCUGCAGGUGUGGAGAAUGCUGAAACAGCAUCAUUAUCUUAUGUGCAGAGGAUGCUUUGUGUUACUGACCCGUGUCGUCCUUACCUAGCCGUGAUGGGCUGACUCUGAUGAGCAGCCAGUGCCUUCUCUCAGGCUCACUGGGUCCCCAGAGGCUGUUCUGCUGCCAAGCUCUGACAUGUCUCUUCGCUGCUGAUGCCGUCUCAGGCUCUGUCACCAGAUGAUGUGUGGUGCUCACCGCUGAGGCUGAGUGGCUGGAAGGGAGGAAAAUCCCCAAUGCACAGGUAGGAGCUUUAGCAAUGUCAUAGGACUUGAGCAAGCUGUCUUUCAUAGAAGGGAGAAUUAUUAAGCUCAGAUCACCUCACCUCAGGGAUGCCUGCUGGACCUUUUGAGAUUACAGUCAAGAAGUGUGGGGAAUACCGUGAACUCAUCAGGUUGGACUCUGUACAGAGAAGAUGGCUUUCUCCUACCUUCCUGCUCAAACUCAACAGCCUAAGAUCAGCUGAGCCCAAGAUCUGGCUGACUGCUCCAAGGAUGUAGAAUCACAGAAUCAUUCAGGUUGGCACAAGAUCAUCUGGUCCAAUCGUUAACCCAGCACUGCCAAAGCCACCACUAAACCAUGCCCCUGUGUGCCACAUCUACACGUCUUCUAAAUACCUCCAGGGAUGGUGACUCCGCCACCUCCUCCGGCAGCCUGUUCCAAUGCUUCACAAACCUUUUGGUGAAGAAAUUUUUCCUAAUACCCAACCUAAACCUCCCUGGUGCAGCCUGAGGCCAUUUCCUCUUGUGCUGUUGCUCAUUACUUGGAAGAAGAGACCGACCCCCCCCUCGCUACAACCUGCUUUCAGGUUGUUGUAGAGGGUGAGAAGGUCCCCCCUCAGCCUCCUUGUCUCCAGGCUAAACACCCCCAGUUCCCUCAGCCGCUCCUCAUCAGACCUGUGCCCCAGCCCCCUCCCCAGCUCGGUUGUCCAUCUCUGGACACACUCCAGCCCCUCCAUGUCUGUCUUGUAGUGAGGGGCCCAAAACUGAACAUGGUAUUUGAGGUGUGGUUGAAUAUGCCCAUACAUAGGCUGCUGUGUACAAUUGACUGCCUUAGUAUUUAAUUUUCAUCUGUUGUAUAGGAAAAUUCCCAGUUGCCUAUGUUUUUGCAAGAUUUUUUUUCUAGAUCACAAGAUUGUUCUGGAUGGGGCUAUUUUUUACCUUACUGCCUUUGUUUAUCAAGUAUUUAGUAUGCUGACGUUGUGGCUUGUACUUGGGGGUUUUAGAUGCUACCUUAUUUAGUAUUAAUGAUAAAAAUUGACCCUGUUUAGGUAAUGAGAAUUUCAUCCACCUUAAGCUCUGUUUAGUUUGCAUGGGCUACUGAAACAUUUUCCAGUUGGUACUGUGGACAAUUCUUUGAUUACUUUAUAACUAGGAUGAUCUUACACUAUGGUAACAUUUUAAAUGAGGACUUAUUUGAAAGUAAUACAUAUUUUGUUACUAAAUCUGAUACAGUGUCUGAAAAACUGGUUGGAUUGAUCUGAUUUAGUACUUACUGCAUGUAUGCAGGGGAAAAAGCUUUUUAGGGUUUAGUGGAUAUUCCCUUUCUAGGUAUUUAGUAAGCAAGUUGGAGAUUCAGAUUAAGUAUAAUUUUCCCAUGUUUAGAGGACAGUUUGAGUCACCAGAAUCAGAAGAUUACAUUGGGUGUGCUUAUUUGGUGUUGUUAGAUAGGGAAACUUGUUUUAUAAUGCAUCUGUAGAAAUGGAAGUGGAUGUCUCAGUUCAUCUGUGAGCAAAAUGUUCCAUGGUUUUUUCUAUCAUGCAGAUUUUAUCCCCAUGCCUAACAACAACCACGAAUAUCUGGGAUGAUAUUCCAGGUGACUGAACCAUUGAAUUUUCCUCUGAACAACACCAUCUUAUAUAACUUUGGGGAAUAUCUCUUUUUUUGUCACAGUGUGUACACUAUUUGUUGUAGCUUUGCCCAGCUGAAAUUCAAAGCCUGUACAUACUUUGGCUUGUUCACUUUCUCUAAUAAAAUCCAGUAUUUGGGACUCUAGUGAUGUAAACUAUUUAAAGGCAGCUAGAAAAAUACAAACAACUCGUUACGUUUUUUUAUCCAAGUUUUUCAUCCUUUGAUAACAGUAAGAAAUCUGAAAACCUGUUUCUGGUUUUACACUAUUAAUUUAAGCAGUUGUUUGGUCUCCUCCUUUUACCACCCAAACUGAAAAUGUUUCCUUGUAGUGAAGGGGCUGUAUUGUUCUCUUAGCCUCUCUGUGGCCAUUUUUCCUUUAAUUUUUUUUUUAUAUCACUGUACAAAAUACAAAUUGAUUGAUUCUUCAGGAAAAGCUCUAUAACUGUAACAGGACAGUAAAAAGUAUAUGUUCCAAGAAUCUAAACACUUAAGUUGUCCAAUAAUUGGUUUUUGGUUUUUUUUAUGUGCCUGUUCUUGACUUGUAGAAAUCUGAGGAUGAAAAAGUAAGAUUGGGCUUGGAUGAAUAGCACCUGAAUUGUAGCCGCACUGUAGUUUCCUGGGUGUUAAUAUACAUGCGACUAACACAAAUGAGCACAAUUAGCAUGAAGUCCUGCAUCCGCUCAUUAAGCUCAAGCUGAAGUGUUGUCCCAGUGAUGAAAAAACUGCAUCCCUAAUAUCUGAAAUGUUGAUGGUGUAUCAGUUUGGCUGUUCGUUCUUCCCGGCUGAGGAGUUCUCAGAGGCUGUUCUGCACUCCUGAAAGAGACAAAAGUAAACACCAGUGAGAGGUGGUUGAGUAACAGAGGAGUGGAAUUUGGGGUGCUACAAAGGAAAGCUGAACUCCUCAAGAAUGGUUUGGCCAUAUUUUCUAUGCAGAGAUUUGCCCUGUAAGUUUGAAAUGUUUUGUUUAGAAUAUUAGAAAUGGCAACUAUCACCAUAAACCUCCAAAGGUUUUGGCUUAGACUUGAAUUCCAAGUAGUUGGAAACCCCCAAAAGUGGAAAGAAAUAAUCCUUCAGAGAGCUUUAGAGAUACUUCAUUUGAAUAUUUCUGAUCCUAUGGUGAUUGAACAGUUGUUUUGCAUAUAAUAAAAUCUUUUCUAGGGCUUGAUAUUUUAAAUUAUUUUUAAGACAGUAACAGAUUGGCUAAUUAAUAACUCUCUUUUUCUCAUUUGCCUAUGCUUAUUUCUUCCAAUGAUGCAAAUCACUUACCUA